rnacentral:rRNA from 1 species
UACGAAGGGGGCUAGCGUUGCUCGGAAUCACUGGGCGUAAAGGGCGCGUAGGCGGCGUUUUAAGUCGGGGUGAAAGCCUGUGGCUCAACACAGAAUGGCCUUCGAUACUGGGACGCUUGAGUAUGGUAGAGGUUGGUGGAACUGCGAGUGUAGAGGUGAAAUUCGUAGAUAUUCGCAAGAACACCGGUGGCGAAGGCGGCCAACUGGACCAUUACUGACGCUGAGGCGC